rnacentral:rRNA from 1 species
UACGUAGGUGGCAAGCGUUGUUCGGAAUUAUUGGGCGUAAAGGGCGCGUAGGCGGUUUGUUAAGUCGGUCGUGAAAGCCCGGGGCUCAACCCCGGAGGGUCGACCGAUACUGGCAGACUAGAGUACAGAAGAGGUAACUGGAAUUCCCGGUGUAGCAGUGAAAUGCGUAGAGAUCGGAAAGAACACCAACGGCGAAAGCACUCUGCUGGGCCGACACUGACACUGAGAGACGAAAGCUAGGGGAGCGAAUGGG